UGGGGAAUAUUGCACAAUGGGGGAAACCCUGAUGCAGCGACGCCGCGUGAGUGAUGAAGUAUUUCGGUAUGUAAAGCUCUAUCAGCAGGGAAGAUAAUGACGGUACCUGACUAAGAAGCCCCGGCUAACUACGUGCCAGCAGCCGCGGUAAUA
rnacentral:rRNA from 1 species